GACGAACGCUGGCGGCGUGCUUAACACAUGCAAGUCGAGCGGUAAGGCCCUUUCGGGGGUACACGAGCGGCGAACGGGUGAGUAACACGUGGGUGACCUGCCCUCAGCUCUGGGAUAAGCCUGGGAAACUGGGUCUAAUACCGGAUAUGACUCCAUGACGCAUGUUGUGGGGUGGAAAGCCUUGUGCGGCUGAGGAUGGGCCCGCGGCCUAUCAGCUUGUUGGUGGGGNGAUGGCCUACCAAGGCGACGACGGGUAGCCGGCCUGAGAGGGCGACCGGCCACACUGGGACUGAGACACGGCCCAGACUCCUACGGGAGGCAGCAGUGGGGAAUCUUGCGCAAUGGGCGAAAGCCUGACGCAGCGACGCCGCGUGAGGGAUGACGGCCUGGU
rnacentral:rRNA from 1 species